GACGAACGCUGGCGGCGUGCUUAACACAUGCAAGUCGAACGGAGAGGCCCUGCUUUUGUGGGGUGCUCGAGUGGCGAACGGGUGAGUAACACGUGAGUAACCUGCCCUUGACUUUGGGAUAACUUCAGGAAACUGGGGCUAAUACAGGAUAGGAGCUCCUGCUGCAUGGUGGGGGUUGGAAAGUUUCGGCGGUUGGGGAUGGACUCGCGGCUUAUCCGCUUGUUGGUGGGGUAGUGGCUUACCAGGGUUUUGACGGGUAGCCGGCCUGGGAGGGUGACCGGCCACAUUGGGACUGAGAUACGGCCCAGACUCCUACGGGAGGCAGCAGUGGGGAAUAUUGCACAAUGGGCGGAAGCCUGAUGCGGCAACGCCGCGUGCGGGAUGACGGCCUUCGGGUUGUAAACCGCUUUCGCCUGUGACGAAGCGUGAGUGACGGUAAUGGGUAAAGAAGCACCGGCUAACUACGUG
rnacentral:rRNA from 1 species